ensembl:snRNA U6 U6 spliceosomal RNA
GCUUGCUUUGGCAACAUGUACAUACCAAAAUUGGAAUGAUACAGAGAUUAGCAUGGCCCCUGUACAAGGAUGACACACAUUUGUGCAGCAUGCUAUU